rnacentral:rRNA from 1 species
UACGUAGGGGGCGAGCGUUGUCCGGAAUCAUUGGGCGUAAAGCGCGUGUAGGCGGCCCGGUAAGUCCGCUGUGAAAGUCCAGGGCUCAACCCUGGGAUGCCGGUGGAUACUGUCGGGCUCGAGUCCGGAAGAGGCGAGUGGAAUUCCCGGUGUAGCGGUGAAAUGCGCAGAUAUCGGGAAGAACACCCGUGGCGAAGGCGGCUCUCUGGGACGGUACUGACGCUGAGACGCGAAAGCGUGGGGAGCGAACAGG